ACCAGGAAGGUAGAAGCCAUCUCCAGCAGCCUUUGCUAAGAACCUUGCUAUACCGUACUGUGUUGCUCAGGCAUUGCACUACAGCAAUGGUAAAUCAGAGUCACAACGAAGUCAGUGCUGCUGAGGAAACACUGGGAGCCCAGAAAGGGAAGGGAAUAAAGUUGCGACAUGCUCUGAGUGUGGCACUGGGAGAGGAUUUCUGUGUUCCACUCCUGGUCCUCCCACUGACUCACAACAGGAUCAGGACACGCCGUUUUUACUUUUACAGCCUCAGUUAACCAGUACAUAGUGAUAAUGUUAUUGAAAAUGUAGUGGUGAAUGUUAUCUGACCUUUAUGUUACAGCAUUAUGGUAAAAUCAUGGACUGUGUAACCAUAAAGAGAAUGAAUAUGUUCCUUCCCUCAAGCUGUUUAUGUACAACACAAGUGCUUAUAUACGAACUGAAUACAGUUUAUACAUUUAUCCACUGUCCCCUAAGCAGUUAUCGUUUAAUAAAUGCAUUAGUUUAUUGCUUUCCA